AGGAACAUAAUGGAUGUGUCUUGUGACCCUGUUACAUACCAUACCAACAUGGCCAUCAUUAACCGCAUGAAAGACACACAGACACGGUUCUUAAAGAGUCGGUUUGUCACAGAGCAGGUGCAAGAUGUUGAAAGAAAAAACUAAACUGUGCACCUCAAGAAAAUUCCAGUUUUCUCUCCAAAAACAGCCGAAGUACAUCUGGAGGGCAAAGUGUCCUAAUGGUUUGCCAGAGGGUGAUGUCACGAGGUGGACCAGAAACGGAAACACGCCUCCCGAGAGAGGACAAAGUGAACCUGCCUCAACGCAAUGACAAAAUGCAAAACGGCAGACAUAAACACAUGGACCGUGGACACACUUCAACCACGCAACUACACAAACUAUACCCUUUGUGGGAACUGUUAGGUUUCUCUCUACACUAUUGUAAGGUCUCAUCCAUACUCUGUAAAGUGCCUGGAGAUAAUGCAUGUUUGCAGCUAUUCAAAU